GGAGGAUCCAAGCGUUAUCCGGAAUCAUUGGGUUUAAAGGGUCCGUAGGCGGCCUUAUAAGUCAGUGGUGAAAUCUCCUAGCUCAACUAGGAAACUGCCAUUGAUACUGUAGGGCUUGAAUUUUUAGGAAGUAACUAGAAUAUGUAGUGUAGCGGUGAAAUGCUUAGAUAUUACAUGGAAUACCAAUUGCGAAGGCAGGUUACUACUAAUGGAUUGACGCUGAUGGACGAAAGCGUGGGUAGCGAACAGGAUUAGAUACCCUGGUAGUCCACGCCGUAAACGAUGGAUACUAGCUGUUCGGUUUUCGGACUGAGUGGCUAAGCGAAAGUGAUAAGUAUCCCACCUGGGGAGUACGCACGCAAGUGUGAAACUCAAAGGAAUUGACGGGGGCCCGCACAAGCGGUGGAGCAUGUGGUUUAAUUCGAUGAUACGCGAGGAACCUUACCAGGGCUUAAAUGGGAGACGACAGGACUGGAAACAGUUUUUUCUUCGGACGUCUUUCAAGGUGCUGCAUGGUUGUCGUCAGCUCGUGCCGUGAGGUGUCAGGUUAAGUCCUAUAACGAGCGCAACCCCUGUCGUUAGUUGCCAGCGAGUGAUGUCGGGAACUCUAACGAGACUGCCGGUGCAAACCGCGAGGAAGGUGGGGAUGACGUCAAAUCAUCACGGCCCU
rnacentral:rRNA from 1 species